rnacentral:misc_RNA from 1 species
AAUUAUCAAAAUGACCACAAUGCGGAAUUGGAGGUGAUUUUGGACUUGAUGGGAGUUGCAGGACCCCUAUUGUAAAGGGUGACAGCUCUCCUGAAAUGGAUUAGCAGAGCUGGGUUUGAAGCUCUAUUAGUGUGAUAAAGAAAAAUUGAUCACUAGAAAAGGGCGGUACUAAGCUUUGGUGAUGUGUUCUAGCUUGGCUAGAAAAGUGUUCAAUAAA